GAAAGUUUGUAGUGGAGUGGCUUCCUUUGUAUGAUCUUGGAAGAUGAUGACCUCUGAAGCCCAUUAUAAAGCAUGGCAACGGCUAAAGGUUAGCGCAUUUCGAGAAGCCAACAGAUCGCCGCCUACUUCCUUAGGCUGACAAUCACCUGCAGGAUAAAGUGCGAUGUUUUGCCCGAGGGGUUGGAGCAGGACCGCAGGAUGAGACAAGAUCAAGGACUGGGCCAACGCGGUCGUCACGCACGAACCAGUGUAGCCCAUUGGCACUGGUAAAGUAGUAUCGGCGGCUCAGGGGCAUGAAG